AAUGUUUUGUUUAUACUUCAGCGGAAAGUUCUGGGAAACCAGGUAUUGACGGAGAAAGAAAACAAACAACAGAUUUCCAUUGACGGCCAGAAAAGUGAAAAAGAUUAGUCAACUUUAAGAGGAGACAACCUUGUUGUGAUGUUUGGGAAAUGGUAACAAUUUUUCACACCUUGUUUUUACCCCAUUUUUUUCCAAUAGGAAUUUUCCCGACCUUAUUCUUUAGCUUUAUAAUAUAUAUGUUACAUGUUACAUACAAGUUAAUUCUGUUACAACCUUUUAGUUUCCAUCUGAGGUUAAAAAAAUAGUUAUUUGGACAGUCAUUUGAUCUAGCUUUAAAAUUUUAUUGCUUUUAAUUUAAGAUUCAAACACUUUGUAUUUAUUUUUUAUAGCGUGUGUUUUUGGGGAUGUGCUUCUUGGUUAAAAUUUAGUUGAACGUUCGUCAGAACAGAUUAUUCGAACGUGCCUUAUAUUUAUCUUACAUCAUAAUUUAAUUUUUUUCAAACUACUAUUGAAAAUAUUCAGUUUCCUUUUUUUCCUCCUCGUUAGUAAUUUUCGACAAGGUGUUGAUUAAAGGUUCUGCUCAUGUAGUUUAUUUGCAGAUCCAUUUACUCGUCACAACUUUUUUACACUGUAAACCUUAAACUACUGCUUCAGGGUGAUACUUUUAAUGCAAUGUUUUCAGGAAACUUUUGAAGUCUUAUGCAACUUUUUUUUUACCAUAUUGUUAUGUUUAUUACUCCCCCUUCCCCGCUGUUUAUUGCAUAUAUUUUUUACACAUUGCAGAAUUUUUAACCAUUGUUUUUGAUAGUUUUUUCAUUGCAUGCAAGUGAUGAUAAAUGUUCUGCCGUGGUUGUCAACCUUUAAUGGGAGAAUUUGAGCCAAUUUGAAAUGCACCUUGGUGUCUAACACAUUCAGUAGCAGUUUUCUAGUGAAGUGGUCUAUCUGCUAAGCUGUGAUAAAAUGGGAUUAGUGCCUCAUGUUCAUUUCAACUGACCAUGAAGACUUACUGUGGACAUUGGUGCUACUGUGAAGCUAUGCAACCCACUGUAAUUAAAAGACAUCAAGCUGUGG